GGGUUCGCGAAUUUCAAUUCCGUUUGUAAUAUUGUUGUUUAUAUAUCAGUGACAGACGUUGAGUACAUAUAUACAUGUAAUACGAAAGUUUUAUGGGAAUCUAAUUUAUUUAUAUGUACUUCUUCUAAAACUCAGAGUACACAAACCUUUUUAUCGCUCAACAAAGUAUAUCUCAAUCAAUACACAACCAAAGAUACGCAGAUGUUACGCGUUUAUGAGGAUCAUAUAUGCAUGGAAACGUUUGACAGCCCGAGGAUAUUACCAUGUCAACACAACCUUUGUAAAAGGUGCCUUCGUACGUUGGCAUGGAAACAUUGUGUGCUUUCUGGAAGUCACGUGAUGAAGAAGACCGAUUUCCCGUGCCCAUCCUGUCGACAUGACUGCAAACUUGGUAAAGUUGGAGAAGCUAUCACAGAAGACAAACUGUUUGCCCGAUUUCAGAAAAUAGGCUCUUAAAACAAAUUAUUUGUGGCCAAAAUGAACGGUCUGGCCAUGGAACCAACAGAAACGCAGAAUUGAAAACGGUAACAUACAGAUCAUUCAGUUGCCAGACUAUAGACACAGACGAGGAACACACUUAUUUAGAACAGCAAUCCGCAUCAAAGAGACAGUACAAGAUAUACGGAAUAUAUUCUCAGUUGCUGCAGUUAUUGGUACAAUUUUUUUCAGAAUACUUGACUGACACCUGUGGUUGGUGUUGGCCUAGAUAUUUGACUGGAAACAAGAUCGCUGCCACUGAGUUAGUAACCCGUAUGUGUUACAUUGUAAAAGAAUUAACGAAGUCAAGUGCAGAUGUUAAAGACCAUAAUAUAAGUUUCUUGCUGCAAAACAUUUACUCAAAUGAGAACAAACUUCUCCGUAUGACCAACAACGGUCGAAUAGACAUAGUUGAAAAUGAUAUUCCGAAAACAAUGUUUUCACAUUUAGAUUUUAUGAAGGACCAACACACACAGACCGAUACUGCUUUGACGGGUAUUGACCUUACAACUACCAGCGUUUUCAUAUUAGUGUGUUCGAUUAUAUUUUGUUCCUUCAUUGCAUGCUGUCUUAAAAAUAAAAUAUAACUGAG